rnacentral:rRNA from 1 species
GACGAACGCUGGCGGCGUGCUUAACACGUGCAAGUCGAACGCUGAAGCUCAGCUUUUGUUGGGUGGAUGAGUGGCGAACGGGUGAGUAACACGUGAGUAACCUGCCUCCUUCUUUGGGAUAACGCCCGGAAACGGGUGCUAAUACUGGAUAUUCACUGGUCUUCGCAUGGGGGUUGGUGGAAAGGGUUUUUCUGGUGGGGGAUGGGCUCGCGGCCUAUCAGCUUGUUGGUGGGGUGAUGGCCUACCAAGGCUUUGACGGGUAGCCGGCCUGAGAGGGUGACCGGUCACAUUGGGACGGAGAUACGGCCCAGACUCCUACGGGAGGCAGCAGUGGGGAAUAUUGCACAAUGGGCGCAAGCCUGAUGCAGCGACGCCGCGUGAGGGAUGGAGGCCUUCGGGUUGCGAACCUCUUUCGCUCAUGGUCAAGCCGCAACAAUGGUUGUGGUGAGGGUAGUGGGUAAAGAAGCGCCGGCUAACUACGUG